rnacentral:rRNA from 1 species
GACGAACGCUGGCGGCGUGCCUAAUACAUGCAAGUAGAACGCUGAAGGAGGAUCUUGCUCUUCUGGAUGAGUUGCGAACGGGUGAGUAACGCGUAGGUAACCUGCCUGGUAGCGGGGGAUAACUAUUGGAAACGAUAGCUAAUACCGCAUAACAGUAGAUGUUGCAUGACAUUUGCUUAAAAGGUGCAAUUGCACCACUACCAGAUGGACCUGCGUUGUAUUAGCUAGUUGGUGGGGUAACGGCUCACCAAGGCGACGAUACAUAGCCGACCUGAGAGGGUGAUCGGCCAAAAUGGGAAUGAGAAACGGCCCAGAAUCCUACGGGAGGGAGCAGUAGGGAAUCUUCGGAAAUGGACGGAAGUCUGACCGAGCAACGCCGCGUGAGUGAAGAAGGUUUUCGGAUCGUAAAGCUCUGUUGUAAGAGAAGAACGAGUGUGAGAGUGGAAAGUUCACACUGUGACGGUAUCUUACCAGAAAGGGACGGCUAACUACGUG